AUUUAAUUGAAUUUUAAAGGCUUCACAAGUCUUGCAACGAACAACUUGGCCGGCUUCUUAGGGUUUUUUGGGGGAAGAAGUUUGUGAUCCUGAAGGGAGAAGAUGUCGAAGAAGAACAACUUAGAGAACAGGAGGAAGCAACACAGAUUCGAUCUCCAAAGAGAAAAGCUGGAGAAGGAAAAAAGGUUGAAGAAAAUUCAGGCGAAGAAGUCUAAGAUGAAGAUUGAUGGCAGUGACAAGAAAAAGAAAA